CUGUGGAUCGGAACGCAGCCACUAACUCUGUAGGGACUGACGCUCCACACAGAAGCUCAGCGUGUCCUCUUAUGCCGUGUUCCAGGCAACUCUGAAAUUUCCGACCUCCAACUAGAAAAAGUACAAUGGAACGCCACCUGAAGUCCGAUUUCCUACUUGUGAACUCGGACAAAAAACACGUACCCUGACUUCACGAGUAGCAGCCGAAUGACGUCACACAACAAUGGCAGCUCCCAUGGAAGCACACGUUGUAAAUGCUGCGUUGGGGGGUGACGUCAUCGGGCAACACAAGCACAGCCCAAAACAAGGCCCUACUGGACGUAACAAUCCUGCAAUACAGAGUGUGGCCACUGUGUCAAAUCACCUCACAGUCCAGAGCUGAUUCUGAGGGCUGGCUUCGUCCUCUGGGGAGCAUAAAUGGCCGAAGCAAAUUUUGUGCCAGUCCAUCCAAUAGUUAGUGAUCCCCCGUGUCUGCGUGGUUUUCCUACGGGUGCUCCAGCUUCCUCCCACCAUCAAAAACACGCUAGGUUCUUCAGUCAGUGCAAUGGACCGGGCACUGAUAAAAAUCUAGAGUUGGUCCCCGGGCGCUGCACAGCGGCUGCCCACUGCUCCCUUGAGGGAUGAGUUAAAGUGCAAAGAAUGAAUUUCUUCUUCUUCUAAAAUUCUGCGCACAUAAAUGAAUAAAUACAGAAUAAAUGGA